GGAAAGUUGUUUCUUAGGAAACAUUUUUUAAUUUUCAGAAUAAACACAACACAAUUAAAAAAAAACAAUAAAACUAAUUAACAAAGAACAAUAAAACCUGGAUUUUGAGCAUAUUUUCUUCCACUUGAAACUUCCAAUUAUAAAGAAAAAGAAUCCCAGCCAAGUUUUCUGUUGAAUCAAAUAAUAAAUAAGAAAAAGUUAACAAUUAAUCGCAUAAAGCAUCUCACAAUCUUCAGUCAACUAGAUACAAACACAUGAAAGUGAGCAUGAAAAAGCAUUAGAAAACACAUGAAAAAGCACAAACAGCAAUUUUUCAACACUUGAUCAUUAUUACCAAAUGAUUUUUUAUUUAUCCUAUUAAACCACAAUUCUACACAAAACAACUACAAGAGUUGAGUACAAAAAGAUUCUAUAUGUAUCUUAAAAAAAAAAAAAAAAAAAACCCUUCAAAGAAAGGCACUGGUCUAACUGGUGGAUGAUUUAUUUUCCAACUCUGUUGGAGAAGAAGAGGAGAAUCACCGGAAAAAAAAAAAUUGCUUGCGUUGCUUUGCUUGUGUUAUGAACUGAGAAAGUCGAAGGGUCUUUCCUUCUUUUUGUGGCUAAUAAGAGUCUGUUUUGAUUCCCCAUAUUUGUUGAUUUGUUUUAUAUUAUAUUUUAUAAUUAAUUAAUAAUGAACUUCCUUAGUCAAUACGUUUCUUUUAGAGAUUGAGUAUAAAGACUGAUUGGAUUGAUUGCCUUCCCUUUUCACUGACAAGUACAGG
rnacentral:lncRNA from 1 species